rnacentral:lncRNA from 13 species
AUCUGCAUGACUCUAACCAAUAAUUAUUUGCAUUGCUCUCAGUUUUCUGCAGGUUAAUGUCUACCUCCACAGAAUUAUAAAAUAGCUGAAGACAAUGAAAAGUACAAACUUCACAAAAUUAGGGACCUCUUACUUCCUCCAGCUUGAACUGUGUCAGAGCUAGAUGGGAGUCUGCAGCUGUCCACUGAGGAGCCAUGAUGGUUACAAACACUCCAUCGUUAUGCAGGAUUGCCUCCUUUGCUGUAUGCUUUCCAGUGAGAUGAAGAUUUUGGUCCUUUCCUCAUUCAUGCUCCUGCUUUUCAAAACCCAAGCAACAAAUGAAACUUCCACAGUGACUUUUUCACUAUGAAAUCUCAGCAUUCACUAGUUGGCCAUGAUGAGCAACCAGACAAAUGGACACCUAUAUACUGGUCUGUACCUGCAGAGAGAGAACUGCAAAUCUCUGUGACCAGAAAGCUCUCUUAUCUUGUACAUUGUUAAAAUUCUGCUUCCAAAAAGUUUACAUCUUGAAUACUGUAACUGAAUAGAAUCAGGUACCCUACCUGUUGGCAGUAGACUCAGUAGUUUCUACAUGGAAAUGGGGAAACCUGUGACCUCCCAAAUAUUAAAUAUAAAAGUUUCGCUUGUGUAUACUCAUGGCACUAUUCUUUUAAUAAAGAGAUAAUCUAU